rnacentral:rRNA from 1 species
AAUCAACGCUGGCGGCGUGCCUAACACAUGCGAGUCGAACGCGAAAGCCCCGCAAGGGGUGAGUAGAGUGGCAAACGGGUGAGUAACACGUGGGUGACCUGCCUUCGAGUGGGGGAUAACGUCCCGAAAGGGACGCUAAUACCGCAUGACAUCCUGCUUUUGAAAAAGCGGAGAUCAAAGCUGGGGAUCGCAAGACCUAGCGCUUGAAGAGGGGCCCGCGCCUGAUUAGCUAGUUGGUGAGGUAACGGCUCACCAAGGCGACGAUCAGUAUCCGGCCUGAGAGGGCGGACGGACACACUGGGACUGAGACACGGCCCAGUCUCCUACGGGAGGCAGCAGUGGGGAAUUGUUCGCAAUGGGCGCAAGCCUGACGACGCAACGCCGCGUGGAGGACGAAGAUCUUCGGGUCGUAAACUCCUGUCGAGCGGGACGAACGCUUCGCGGAUGAAUAAUCCGCGGAAUUGACGGUACCGCUAAAGGAAGCCCCGGCUAACUCCGUG